AUGGCUCCGCUUCCUCUCCCCCUUCCCGCCACUCCCUACCCACCCAAACCCCACGAGUCCCCGCGGCCCGCCUCUCUCCAUGCCGCGCUCGCCUCCCUCUCCCAGCAAGGCAGCGACCACGGCAGCCUCCGCGACGCCUUCGCCCUCGUCUCCCGCGCCGAGCGCCAGUCGAGCCCCGGCGCUGCCGUUGCCGUCGGCCCGGAGGUGUACGUGUCCCUCCUGCAGUGCUGCGUCGCCGCGGGGUCCCUCCGCGCGGGACGCCAGGUGCACGCUGCCGCCGUCAAGCGCGGGCCCUACUACUGCCGCCACGCCUACAUCGGCACCAAGCUCGCUGUCUUCUACGCCCGAUGCGGCGCGCUGGCGGACGCCGAGCGCGUGUUCGACGCGCUACCCAAAAAGAACGCCUUCGCCUGGGCCGCCGUCAUCGGAUUAUGGAGCCGCGCCGGGCUGCACGCUAGGGCCCUCGACGGGUACAUCGACAUGCUGCAGGCGGGCGUCCCCGCCGACAACUUCGUCGUGCCCAGCGUGCUGAAGUCAUGCGCCGGGAUCGGGAUGGUCGGGACCGGGAGGGCGCUGCACGGGUACGCCUGGAAGGCGGGGUUCAUGGAAUGCGUAUACGUGUUGAGCAGCCUGGUGGACUUCUACGGGAAGUGUGGCGAGGUGGAUGACGCGCGGGAGGUGUUUGAUGCAAUGACGGAGACGACGGUGGUGACCUGGAACUCCAUGUUGAUGGCGUAUAUAAACAAUGGGAGAAUCGAUGCUGCUGUGGAAUUGUUCUAUCAGAUGAGGGUUGAAGGCGUGCUGCCGACGAGGGUGAGCGUUCUUAGCCUUCUGUCUGCAUCGGCCGAUUUUGAAGCUCCUGAUUGGGGUAGGCAGGGCCAUGCCGUGGCCGUAUCGAGUGGUUUAGCGAUGGAUGUAAUUUUGGGGAGCUCAAUCAUCAACUUUUACUGUAAGGUUGGGAUGGUCGAGGCUGCAGAGGCCGUGUUUGAGCAGAUGGUUGAAAGAGACGCUGUUACAUGGAAUUUGAUGAUUGCUGGGUAUUUGCAGGAUGGGCAAACCGACAAGGCUUUGAUCACUUGUCGAAAAAUGCUCCAGUCUGGCCUUAGGUUUGAUUGUGUGACGUUGGCAUCCAUUAUCAUGGCUUGCAUGACAUCCUGUGGUAUGGAGAUGGGCAGAGUUGCUCACGGCUAUGCAGUUAGAAACUACCUUGAAUCAGACCAAGCGGUUGCUUGUGGCCUGAUAGAGUUGUAUAUGAGUACUCAAAGGACCGAACAUGCACGCAGGCUGUUCGAUGCCAUGAGUUGCAGAGACAUGGUCGUGUGCAGAGUGAUGAUUUCUGCUUAUGCAGAUCAUGGGAUGAGUUCUCAGGCUCUCAAGGUUUUAUAUCAGAUGCAGCAUCAGGGCAUAUCUCCAAGUGCAGCGUGCUGGGAUUCAGUCAUUUCAGCUUUUAUGAAGAAUGAGCAGAUUAGUGAGGCCCUAGAGAUCUUCAAUGAGAUGCUACUAACAAAAACACGCCCAAAUCUACGCACAUGGAGCCUGUUAAUAAGUGGCUUGUCUCGAAAUGGUAUGCACUGCGAGGUAAUGAAUCUAUGCUGCAAGAUGCAAGAAGUAGAGCGAGCACCAAGUCCAACAAUUUUCUCCGCAGCACUUGUUGCCAUGAAGGCUGCAACCUCGGUACAAUAUGGAAAGGCAAUGCAUGCGUGCAUUGUAAAGAAGGGCCUAUUGUUGUCCAAAUCCGUUAUACAGUCCCUGCUAAACAUGUAUGGCAGUUUCAGUGACACAGGCACGGUAGAAAGUUUACUAGGCUUGCUUGCUGCUGCACAGUAA
rnacentral:rRNA from 1 species